rnacentral:tRNA from 1 species
GCCUUCGUGGUGUAACGGUAGCACACUCGGCGUGUAUUCGAGAGGUCCAGGUUCGAGUCCCAGGGAGGGCA